rnacentral:misc_RNA from 1 species
GGCCGUGAGGGAUGAUGCGCGG